GAAGAUGAAGAGACUUGGAUUCAGAUAUGUCACACCAAAUAGAUGGAGCAAAGUCCACAGAGCAUGGCACUGACUCGGUCAGGGGCCCCUGCCAGCAUCACAGCAGAUGAAGAGACAGAAAGGGAGCCAGUUAAGGAUAGAAGAGGCCAAGCACAUGGCCUCAUCUCAUAACAGCACCUUGACAGGUGUUCUGUACACAUGGGCCCA
rnacentral:lncRNA from 1 species